rnacentral:rRNA from 1 species
AACGAACGCUGGCGGCAUUCCUAACACAUGCAAGUCGAACGAGACCUUCGGGUCUAGUUGCGCACGGGUGCGUAACGCGUGGGAACCUGCCCUUAGGUUCGGAAUAACUCCCCGAAAGGGGUGCUAAUACCGGAUAAUGUCUUCGGACCAAAGAUUUAUCGCCUUUGGAUGGGCCCGCGUUGGAUUAGCUAGUUGGUAGGGUAAAAGCCUACCAAGGCGACGAUCCAUAGCUGGUCUGAGAGGAUGAUCAGCCACACUGGGACUGAGACACGGCCCAGACUCCUACGGGAGGCAGCAGUGGGGAAUAUUGGACAAUGGGCGAAAGCCUGAUCCAGCAAUGCCGCGUGAGUGAUGAAGGCCUUAGGGUUGUAAAGCUCUUUUACCCGGGAUGAUAAUGACAGUACCGGGAGAAUAAGCUCCGGCUAACUCCGUG